rnacentral:rRNA from 1 species
UACGUAGGGGGCUAGCGUUGUCCGGAUUUAUUGGGCGUAAAGGGCGCGUAGGCGGCAAUUCAAGUCAGCUGUGAAAUCUCCGGGCUUAACUCGGAACGGUCAGCUGAUACUGCUUUGCUAGAGUGCGGAAGGGGCAAUCGGAAUUCUCGGUGUAGCGGUGAAAUGCGUAGAUAUCGAGAGGAACACCUGAGGUGAAGACGGGUUGCUGGGCCGACACUGACGCUGACAGCGCGAAAGCCAGGGGAGCAAACGGG